rnacentral:lncRNA from 1 species
GCAGGAAACACACAUCAGGAUUCCAGGGCUAGGGAUCAGUAUGUCCUCUCAGCCAGGACCCAGCCACAUCAAGGUGGCUAGCUCAGCUUGUGGCCCCACAGAUGCUACAUUUUCCAGUUCAAGGUGGCUUUACCUACCCUCCCUCCCAUCCUCUUUCUGCUGUUAUGAUGGGUAACUGUGCUUGAACACUGUAGACUUCAACUCUUUGAUUUCACAGUGGCUUUUCUGCUCUACUCUGUGGAGGGAAGCCCUAAUCUUGGGAAGUUUACCUGUUUAGCUGUGGUCACAUUCCUGAUUCAAUGGAAUACAAGAGACUAGCCGUGGGGGAGAGAGGGGGAGAAGUGAUGCUGCUUGCAAGGGUCGAUGCACACUGCAAUUCACCUCCAGAAUACCACUCUCAACUCCAAACUUCUCUCAGUUGUACGGUGAGAGUGAAGACAACAGAGCAAGGAGACUCUGGCUCCCAUUAGGUGGCCUCUCCUUCUCUGCUUCCGUGUUAUUUCCUUAAAGCUCUGCUUGACUGCAGUAAACAGAGUCACCAGCAUCUUACCUCCAGGACUACACCAACUCUAAUGUACCUUACCAGUUGCUGCCAGAGGGGCCUUUCUAACUCAUAAAUUAGCAUAAUCCUCCAGUUCUUCAAAAUCCUACAGUAGCCACCUCGGGGAUGGGAUAAAGGAUUGUUACUUUAGCACAGAUUCCUUAUCAGGAGUUGGAAUUAAGCGCUGUAGACCUAUGAGGACUUCAGUCUUGUCUGCAAAAUGAGCUUUGGGCCCAACAGCUCAGGCCUCUUUCGUGGGACCCUCCUCAUGUGCUAGCCUUCCACAAAAUAUUCCUCAGCCUGGAUUUUCACAGACGCCACACCCUCACCCUCCUGCUGCUCAGCCCUCCCACCGACUCAUCUGCCUUGGGUGAUGGCCACGCCCUCCUCUGUCUGGCCUCCACUUUCUCUAACCUGGAGCAACUACUCUCCUGACCCUGCCUUACAGAGUUCAAGUUUCUGGCAGGCGGGGACAUGUUUUAUAGGCUUUUUUGUCCCCCAAGGCUCACAACUCAGCAGUUCCUGAACAGAGGAGAGACUCUAAGGCACCAUACAAAAUACAAGGAACUUGGCUACCAAAUCUUGAGUUCCAAGCCUCCUGCUUCUGGGCUUUUGCCACGAAGCCAAGACAUUAAC